AGUGCUGACACAGACAUCCCCUAAAAGUUGCUGAAGAUGUUACCUAGUCUGGUAAGAAUCGUUUGAAGCCAACCCACAAACUCCAAGGAUGAACCUUCAUCCUCAUCCUACACUCAAACUACAGCUAUUCGCCACUAUUGCAAACUUUGAGUCUAUUUAAACAAUUAUUAGAAAGUAACAUAAAGAACAAGUUGUUCUUUAGCAGAAUUUUACAUUGGAUGGAACCUUGCCAAUUAUUGAAUGUAACAUUUCUUUGAAUUUAUAUUCAGUUGCUUCCUGGUUUAUCUCCCCACUAUUAUCUGGUAUGAUGUCUGGUGCACUGUUUCUCUUGAUCAGAUUUUUCAUCUUAAAUAAGGAAGAUCCAGUACCAAAUGGUCUUCGUGCCCUUCCAGUGUUCUAUGCUGCUACAAUAACUAUUAAUGUGUUCUCUAUAAUGUAUACAGGUGCUCCAGGAGGACUUCAAGAACAGGGGCAGGGGGACUAGUGCCUCUAAAGGAAAAGAGGUGGCUACAGGUGGCUCCCAAAGCAAAAAAUGCAGAAUAUGAAGAGAAAACUCACGAGUUGGCAAUCCAAGAGGAAUUGGCUAAAGAAAUUUCAAAACCCUCUGGU